AGUGAACGCUGGCGGUAGGCCUAACACAUGCAAGUCGAACGGCAGCACAGGAGAGCUUGCUCUCUGGGUGGCGAGUGGCGGACGGGUGAGGAAUACAUCGGAAUCUACUUUUUCGUGGGGGAUAACGUAGGGAAACUUACGCUAAUACCGCAUACGACCUACGGGUGAAGCAGGGGAUCUUCGGACCUUGCGCGAUUGAAUGAGCCGAUGUCGGAUUAGCUAGUUGGCGGGGUAAAGGCCCACCAAGGCGACGAUCCGUAGCUGGUCUGAGAGGAUGAUCAGCCACACUGGAACUGAGCCACGGUCCAGACUCCUACGGGAGGCAGCAGUGGGGAAUAUUGGACAAUGGGCGCAAGCCUGAUCCAGCCAUACCGCGUGGGUGAAGAAGGCCUUCGGGUUGUAAAGCCCUUUUGUUGGGAAAGAAAUCCAGCUGGUUAAUACCCGGUUGGGAUGACGGUACCCAAAGAAUAAGCACCGGCUAACUUCGUGCCAGCAGCCGCAGUAA
rnacentral:rRNA from 1 species